rnacentral:rRNA from 1 species
GUGAUAAGUAUCCCACCUGGGGAGUACGAACGCAAGUUUGAAAACUCAAAGGAAUUGACGGGGGCCCGCACAAGCGGUGGAGCAUGUGGUUUAAUUCGAUGAUACGCGAGGAACCUUACCAGGGCUUAAAUGUAGUAUGACAGGUUUGGAAACAGACUUUUCUUCGGACAUAUUACAAGGUGCUGCAUGGUUGUCGUCAGCUCGUGCCGUGAGGUGUCAGGUUAAGUCCUAUAACGAGCGCAACCCCCGUUGUUAGUUGCCAUCGAGUAAUGUCGGGAACUCUAACAAGACUGCCGGUGCAAACCGUGAGGAAGGUGGGGAUGACGUCAAAUCAUCACGGCCCUUACGUCCUGGGCUACACACGUGCUACAAUGGCAGGUACAGAGAGCAGCCACUUCGCAAGGAGGAGCGAAUCUAUAAAGCCUGUCUCAGUUCGGAUUGGAGUCUGCAACCCGACUCCAUGAAGCUGGAAUCGCUAGUAAUCGGAUAUCAGCCAUGAUCCGGUGAUACGUUCCCGGGCNUUGCACACACCGCCCG